UUCUGUCCCUCAUUGCUGUGUAAGUGGGAUGAUUCUCUUGGUUCCUGUCCCUGAAAGGUAAGUGGAUCGUGUAGACUGAGCUGGAUCAAGCCUGAGGUGAAAUCUUGAGGUGUGCCAGACACCUGGACCCUCAGAGGUCACACUUGGAGAAACUGAGCUCCUACGGGACACACAGAAAACAACCCAGCAGGUACAGAAUUUUAUGACUUGGUUGAGAACCCUUGCUAAGAAUUCUGGGGCAGUAUGUAAUUUGUCAAUUCAUGUUAAUGGAUGCAUAUAUUGUUAAGCAGUAUAUUUUGCCUAUUAGCUUUGUCCAUAUGUACCCCUUUAUCCCUGGGAAUCCUUAGGAAAAACUUGGUAGGCUCUGCAGGAAGAUUUCCCUCCUUGGAAUCCAUUUCCUCCUCUGCACUUUGUAUAUAACUCUGAAGGAGAAAGUGGCAAAAAUUUAUUGUUCUUUCACAUUUUUAUCAUUGACCUUACCCAGAACCACUUCUUCUGAAAUGUGAACAGUUCCUCGUGUUAAAGGAGAAUUUGGGUGUAAGAUGAUAUUAAAUACAUGCUGGAACCCAGGUUUUCCUAAGUCUCACCAGUGUUUGGAAGAGGUACUCUGAAGGGGAAUCGCUUGAUUUUCAAAGGCUCUUGCUUCUACCUGCUAGCACAGACACGUGUGUGUGAAGUAGCCUGGGCCAGGAACAGGACAGAGGGACACCCCCACCCCCAAG